rnacentral:rRNA from 1 species
UACGUAGGCAGCAAGCGUUGUUCGGAGUUACUGGGCGUAAAGAGUGCGUAGGCGGUGCUCUAAGUUUGGUGUGAAAUCUCCCGGCUUAACUGGGAGGGUGCGCCGAAAACUGGAGUGCUUGAGUAUGGGAGAGGCAAGCGGAAUUCCUGGUGUAGCGGUGAAAUGCGUAGAUAUCAGGAGGAACACCUGUGGUGUAGACGGCUCUCUGGACCGCGACUGACGCUGAGACACGAAAGCGUGGGUAGCAAACAGG